rnacentral:rRNA from 1 species
CGAACGCUGGCGGCGUGCUUAACACAUGCAAGUCGAACGAUGAAGUUCCUUCGGGAAUGGAUUAGUGGCGAACGGGUGAGGAACACGUGAGAAACCUGCCUUUCAUUUUGGGAUAACUCCGGGAAACCGGGGCUAACACCGAAUACUCCAUCUCGGCGGCAUCGCUGAGCUGGGAAAAAAUUUUGAUGAAAGAUGGUCUCGCGGCCUAUCAGCUAGUUGGUGAGGUAAUGGCUCGCCAAGGCAACGACGGGUAGCCGGCCUGAGAGGGCGACCGGCCACACUGGGACUGAGACACGGCCCAGACUCCUACGGGAGGCAGCAGUGGGGAAUAUUGGGCAAUGGGCGCAAGCCUGACCCAGCGACGCCGCGUGAGGGAUGAAGGCCUUCGGGUUGUAAACCUCUUUCAGUAGGGAAGAAGCGAAAGUGACGGUACCUAAGAAGAAGCACGGCUAACUAUGUGCCAGCAG